rnacentral:rRNA from 1 species
AUUGAACGCUGGCGGCAUGCCUAACACAUGCAAGUCGAACGGCAGCACAGUCUAGCUUGCUAGACGGGUGGCGAGUGGCGAACGGGUGAGUAACGCGUAGGAAUAUACCUUGAAGUGGGGGACAACCUGGGGAAACUCAGGCUAAUACCGCGUAAUCUCUUCGGAGGGAAGCUGGGGACCGCAAGGCCUGGCGCUUUAAGAUUAGCCUGCGUCCGAUUAGCUAGUUGGUGGGGUAAAGGCCUACCAAGGCGACGAUCGGUAGCUGGUCUGAGAGGAUGAUCAGCCACACUGGGACUGAGACACGGCCCAGACUCCUACGGGAGGCAGCAGUGGGGAAUAUUGGACAAUGGGGGGAACCCUGAUCCAGCAAUGCCGCGUGUGUGAAGAAGGCCUGAGGGUUGUAAAGCACUUUCGGCGGGGAGGAGGAUGAGUUGGUUAAGAGCUGACUUAUUGGACGUUACCCGCAUAAGAAGCACCGGCUAACUCCGUGCCAGCCGCCGCAGUAACAC